CUCUUAUAAAAUUUUAAGUAAUCUCUGCCCUAUGAUUUUUAAAUGGCCGCAGUAUCUUGACUGUGCAAAGGUAGCAUAAUCAUUUGUCCCUUAAUUAGGGGCUGGAAUGAAGGAGGCGACGAAAUGUGAUCUUUUGAAUUUAGGGGUGAGAUUGACAUAAGAGUCAAAAGGCUCUUAUUUUUCUGGGGGACGAUAAGACCCUAUAAAACUUAAUCCUUUCCCAUAGCUCUAUAGACAAAAGUUUAAGGGGGAUUCAACUGGGGUGGUUUUUACUUUAACUGUAUAAGUUUAAAUAUAAAAAAUAAAUUCGAAUAACUUAAUUUAAAAUUUGAACAAGUUACUUUAGGGAUAACAGCAUAAUCCUCUCAGAGAGUCCAAAUCGGCGGGGGGGAUUAUGACCUCGAUGUUGAAUUGAGAAAAUUUCUAGUGGGCAGCCCCGUAGAGAAUUAGUCUGUUCGACUAUUAAAUUCUC
rnacentral:rRNA from 1 species